rnacentral:rRNA from 1 species
CGGACGGGUGAGUAAUGUCUGGGAAACUGCCCGAUGGAGGGGGAUAACUACUGGAAACGGUAGCUAAUACCGCAUAACGUCGCAAGACCAAAGAGGGGGACCUUCGGGCCUCUUGCCAUCGGAUGUGCCCAGAUGGGAUUAGCUAGUAGGUGGGGUAACGGCUCACCUAGGCGACGAUCCCUAGCUGGUCUGAGAGGAUGACCAGCCACACUGGAACUGAGACACGGUCAG